rnacentral:rRNA from 1 species
AACGAACGCUGGCGGCAUGCCUAACACAUGCAAGUCGAACGAGACCUUCGGGUCUAGUGGCGCCCGGUUGCGUAACGCGUGGGAACCUUCCCUUAGGUUCGGAAUAACUCCCCGAAAGGGGUGCUAAUACCGGAUCAUGUCUUCUGACCAAAGAUUUAUCGCCUUUGGAUGUGCCCGCGUUGGAUUAGCUAGUUGGUAGGGUAAAAGCCUACCACGGCGACGAUCCAGAGCUGGUCUGAGAGGAUGAUCAGCCACACUGGGACUGAGACACGGCCGAGAAUCCUACGGGAGGCAGGAGUGGGGAAUAGUGGAAAAUGGGCGAAAGGAUGAACCAGCAAGGCCGCGUGAGUGAUGAAGGCCGGAGGGUUGUAAAGCGCUUUUACCCGGGAUGAUAAUGACAGUACCGGGAGAAUAAGCUACGGCUAACUACGUG